GUUUCUGUAGUGUAGUGGUUAUCACGUUGGCUUUACACCGCGAAAGGUCCCUGGUUCGAAACCGGGCAGAAGCA
rnacentral:tRNA from 1 species